UGCUGUAAGAUUUAGGACUGAUAUCAAUUACAGUGAAUCACAGACAACAUAUGAGCUUCACAGUCAAUCUUAAAAAUUUAUACUUCACCAUGUUUAAACAGGUGUUUUGAUGUAGUAUUUCUAUCUAUAUCUUUCAAAUUAGAUGAAGAUUCUACUCUGCUACUUGAUGUUGCUGUCUGUCCCCAUUACAUAAUUACACUAAAUCUUGUGAAUACUCCCUUUAAAUUAGAAACAAAUACAUGUAAAAUGAAAUCAAAGAACAUUCUAGCAACACACAACCAACACAGGAAACAACAAUGGAUUCUCUGUGGAACAGCCAGAACUUGUGAUCUCCUAUCACUUUUGACCUAAAUUUUAAGGUUUGCAACCCAAAGCAGAAGUCAUUUAAUCACUGCAAUUAUUACCUCCAUCUGUCUGUGAAAUCAAUAAAAAUUAGCUUCUGUAGUGGUACCCUCUUGGGAGUACAAGAGCAACUAUUGUCCCUCCUUGCCACCCAAAAUAAAGAGAGCCUCACUUAAAUUUUUCAGUAAGUUUAUCACUUAUGCCUUAUUCUAAAUUUAACAAUCUGAUUGUUAAAUUACUAGUGCAGAUCACUUGGUUUAAGUAAUACAGCUCCAUGUCAUCACUCAAAAACACUUUUAAUGACAUAGUAAUGGGUAAGCCUGAUAUUUUCAGGAUCAUUCUAAUACUCAGAGAUCCAGAACAUUAAUAAACAACAAGCUAUAGCUAAGGUCUGAAAGGUCCAAGAUUGCCUCCAUUACAAAGAAUUUGUAUUUCUGGAUUCACAAACUACAUAUGCAUGUAGAAUCAUUUACUACUAUUUCUGCAACAUAAUAAGAACAAUUGUUUAAGGAUUUCAAACUCUAGCACAGGUGCCUAUGUUGCAGUUUAAAGUGGAAAAUAAGAAGACUACUUCGACCAAAUUUAAAGUUCUGUCACAUGAGAGUAGGAAAAAAGUAGUAUCUAAAUCCUCACUUGCUGUUCUUACUGUUCACACAGAAAAGCCAACAACUGGAAGGAACUGCUUUGCCUACAGGAAAUAGCUAGAGAGGGGAUAACAGGACACACAGACAAGACAAACCUCCUCCUCAGAGUCGAGAGGAUCAUCCUCAAUACUGAAAGAAUAUCCAGCUAAGGUGGGAGAAGCUAAGGCCAAAUCCUAGGAGAAAGGCUGAUGGGGUCAGCGCUGGUGUUGCUGUUUCCAGCUCCAAAGCGUUCCCUGGCACCCAGUCCUCAACUCUGCACUGCAAGGGGGCACAGCUGCAUGUCACUGGGAGCUACUUUCAGGAGGCAGUGCAGUUUUCCAGUGCCACACUUAAGCAAUAGACAAGAAGAAAUGUGUUACAUAACCAAAGAAGUAAUUUAAGGGUGGAGAAGCAUAACUGUCAGAAGCCAAACACGGCCAUUUACCCUGCAAUUAUAGGCUCUGUUGCCACAAUGACAGUGAAGAUGUUUACAAGCUUU